GUCCUAUUGGCUUAGUGGUAGAGUAUCUGACUACGAUUCAAAAGACAAACAAAUCGUCGGCAUCAGGGGGUCGUGGGUUCGAUCCCCACAUAGGAUU